GUAGCAGCUGAGGUUUCCUUAAUUUGUUUAGUAUCUCAGGUAAACUUCUAAUUAAUUGCAUUUGUUCUAUGGCUCUGGCUUCCUCUGCAGUGUUCCCACCUCUCCUGAGUUUACUGCAAGCCUCACACAGGUGAUGCUUCUUAUUGCCCUUAGCUUCUGGAAACAUAAUUGCAUCAGAAGAUCAGCCCUCAUUUCAUUUUGUCUCUCAUGGGGGAUGAGAAAAGCUGCCUGUCUCACCCUUCAGUGCCGCUGGAACUUGCGUAAUGCGGAACAAAUGGAGCUGAGGAGGUCACGGCCCUCCGAGCAGCUCCAGGAAAUCCUUAUCUGCUGUGAACUUCACAGGUUUGGCCACCUGCUUCUCAGCUCUCCUGGCACGGGAAGUUUUUGGAUGCCGGCUUUCGAGGAGUCUCCCCACUGGGUUGCACUGGAACCUGGAAUAUGAGAAUGUGGGUUGGCAAGAACCUGUGCGUCUGGGAGCUGCCGAGCAGCCCCGGAGGCUUCCCAAAUUCAGCUCCCCAUCAUCCCGUCUGGUAGGAUGGAGGAAGCUGGGAAGCCUCUCUCAGCCUGAAACCUCAGAAUUUGGGAGCCAGCCCCCCUGAAACUUUCACCCCUUUGUUCCUGGGCAGCUGUUGUGGGGAGCUGUGAGGCAGCUGGAGCGCAGAAAGAUGAACCAGCCUCGACGGAGGCACCUGGUGACUCUGCAGGUGGCCCCGGGCUCCUUGCUUGCUUGCCAGGCUGCUGUGUGCUGCUCAGCACCAUUUUGGGGUGAUUUAUCACAGCACUGGACCUCUGAAGAGCUAAAGUUUGUAUUCACAUGGGCUCCAUUUCAAUAUGAGGGGGUGAUGCCAGAGACUGGGGAGUGUGACAGCCCAGUCUGCCCAGUUAUGGAAAGUGAGGAACUGGAAAUUUACCUGGAUGUCAUCCUGAGUUAGUCAAAACCGAAGCAUCUCUACAAAACACCUAGAUCUGAACAAACUGCCAUUCUCUGACAAAAAUGUUCCGUCUGAGAAUUUCUGACCAGGUCUGGUGGUAAACAUCUCCAGGAUGUCAUUUGUGCCUGAUACAGGGCAAAAAUUAUUCGGGUACCUGGAGUCCAGGGUGGGAGGAUGAGGGAAUGGAACAGUAAAUUAAAAGGGUUGAAACAGAAA